UUUUCUCUUUGUGAUUGAUAGUGGGGCUUUGAGGCUGUGAACUGUUCAUCUGUGGAUCAGUGAGUCGGCAGGGUUUUUUUUUUAGUGGAUGUCGAUGUUGCCAAAUGGGUAGUGGAGCUAUGGAGUGUUUCCAGUCCUUCAUGCAUCUUAAAUGUUCUUUGUAUCACCGACUGCUAUUAUUUAUAAUUUGUUAUUCUGGUUUCCAAGAUGUAUUGGCAGUGCAGACAACACCUUCAUCAAAUUCUCAUACUUCUAACACACUUGUGCUAUCCGACCCACCUAUUGGACUCUUUGAUCCCAUUGAAAUUUCACCUGCCGUGAUUCCCCCUUAUCCAUAUUCUGGGGAACCAUUGUCACCAAUGUAUCCUUCCUUUCCGAGAACGUAUGAACCAGUCUUGACUGGAAGAUGCCCGGUAAAUUUUUCUGCCAUAUCGGGUAUUAUGGACAAAACAGCAUCGGAUUGCGCUGCACCUUUAGCAUCCCUUGUUGGGAAUGUGAUAUGUUGUCCCCAGGUUAGCAGUUUACUGCACAUUUUCCAAGGUGACUACAACAGGGAUUCAGAUACAUUAGUUCUACACAAGGCAGCUGCUGAUGAUUGUUUCUCAGAUGUUAUCAGUAUGUUAGCUGGCAGAGGGGCAAACAGUACGAUCCCUACGCUUUGUUCUAUAAAAUCAUCAGAUCUCACUGGUGGAUCCUGUCCUGUGAAGGAUGUAACGACCUUCGAGAAAAUAGUAAACACGAGCAAAUUACUGGAUGCCUGCAGCACUGUCGACCUGCUAAAAGAGUGCUGUAGGCCCGUUUGUCAGUCUGCAAUUGUUGAUGCUGCAUUCCACAUCUUAUCAAGAGAAUCAAGUCUUGUGGAGAAUGCUAAUAUAGCUGGGAUGCCUACCGAGGUGGAUGUUCUCAAUGACUGUAAAGGGAUAGUGUAUGCAUGGCUUUCCAGGAAGCUCCCGUCAGACGUUGCCAACACUGCAUUUCGGAUAUUAUCUAGCUGCAAGGUUAACAAAGUUUGUCCUUUGGAGUUCAAAGAGCCUUCAGCAGUAAUUAAGGCGUGCAGUGACGUCGCAUCUCCCAAUCCUUCCUGCUGUAGUUCAUUAAAUAUGUACAUCACAGGGAUACAGAAGCAGAUGCUAAUUACAAAUAGGCAAGCCAUAAACUGCGCAACAUUGUUUGGGUCCAUGUUACAAAAGGGUGGUGUCAUGAUGAAUAUCUAUGAGCUCUGUGAUGUUGACUUGAAAGACUUCAGUCUUCAGGCAUACGGACAACAAGGUCUGUCAUUGCAUACAGCUUCCCCUUUCAUUUACCUCAUUUUGUCUGCUACUCUCAUCUCCGCAGGGUUUCUUUUGUCUUGGUAUUAGAGAACUAGUACACAAUGUUAUUGCACCUACAUCUAAACUUAGAUGGUAUGUAGAUGUAGGUUGUUUGCUUCGGAGCUUUCCUGCAGAUGUUGCAGUUGACAAUUCUUCUGGCGUUAGCUUUACAUGUGACUUGAGUGACAAUAUUGCUGCCCCGUGGCCAUCGUCAUCUUCACUGUCAUCCAUGACCUUCUGUGCUCCUGAAAUGGCAUUGCCUGCGCUACCAACAUCUGAGACCUCUGGAAAUUCUGGCCUUCAUGGCAGAGUUGGCUUUCUUGUGCCCAUUUUUUCAUUCUUUAUUGUUCAGUACACUAUUCUGAAGAGCGCGCACUGAUGGUAUGAGGGUGCAGUCGGUGGAUAUUUACAGAGGGCUGGGAUAUUUCUACCCCUGGCCAGGUUACAUGUAUAGUGAGUAUCCAUUUCCAUGUAUAGCAGCUGUUUUUGGGCAUUUUACAUGAUUUGGUUGCUUUUUUCUUCUUCGUUUUUUUUUUUUUUCUUGAAUGGACUGCAAGGACUGGUCUAGGGUUUCAUUUUUGGGAAAUCACAGAAAAAAUGGCUUCAAUUGGGACAGAA